rnacentral:rRNA from 1 species
GAUGAACGCUGGCGGCGUGCCUAAUACAUGCAAGUCGAGCGAACGGACGAGAAGCUUGCUUCUCUGAUGUUAGCGGCGGACGGGUGAGUAACGCGUGGAUAACCUACCUAUAAGACUGGGAUAACUUCGGGAAACCGGAGCUAAUACCGGAUAAUAUUUUGAACCGCAUGGUUCAAAAGUAAAAGACGGUCUUGCUGUCACUUAUAGAUGGAUCCGCGCUGCAUUAGCUAGUUGGUAAGGUAACGGCUUACCAAGGCAACGAUGCAUAGCCGACCUGAGAGGGUGAUCGGCCACACUGGAACUGAGACACGGUCCAGACUCCUACGGGAGGCAGCAGUAGGGAAUCUUCCGCAAUGGGCGAAAGCCUGACGGGGCAACGCCGCGUGAGUGAUGAAGGUCUUCGGAUCGUAAAACUCUGUUAUUAGGGAAGAACAUAUGUGUAAGUAACUGUGCACAUCUUGACGGUACCUAAUCAGAAAGCCACGGCUAACUACGUG